GUUGGCGGGGUAACGGCCCACCAAGGCGACGAUGCGUAGGGGUUCUGAGAGGAAGGUCCCCCACACUGGUACUGAGACACGGACCAGACUCCUACGGGAGGCAGCAGUGAGGAAUAUUGGUCAAUGGGCGCGAGCCUGAACCAGCCAAGUCGCGUGAGGGAAGACGGUCCUAUGGAUUGUAAACCUCUUUUGUCGGGGAGCAAAAGACGCCACGCGUGGCGUUCCGAGAGUACCCGAAGAAAAAGCAUCGGCUAACUCCGUGCCAGCAGCCGCGGUAAUACGGAGGAUGCGAGCGUUAUCCGGAUUUAUUGGGUUUAAAGGGUGCGCAGGCGGAAGAUCAAGUCAGCGGUAAAAUUGAGAGGCUCAACCUCUUCGAGCCGUUGAAACUGGUUUUCUUGAGUGAGCGAGAAGUAUGCGGAAUGCGUGGUGUAGCGGUGAAAUGCAUAGAUAUCACGCAGAACUCCGAUUGCGAAGGCAGCAUACCGGCGCUCAACUGACGCUCAUGCACGAAAGUGUGGGUAUCGAACAGGAUUAGAUACCCUGGUAGUCCACACAGUAAACGAUGAAUACUAAUUGUUCGGGGAGAAUGAUCCCUGA
rnacentral:rRNA from 1 species